rnacentral:rRNA from 1 species
GUGAGGAAUAUUGGUCAAUGGGCGAGAGCCUGAACCAGCCAAGUCGCGUGAAGGAAGACGGAUCUAUGGUUUGUAAACUUCUUUUAUACGGGAAUAAAGUGCGGCACGUGUGCCGUUUUGUAUGUACCGUACUGAAUAAGCAUCGGCUAACUCCGUGCCAGCAGCCGCGGUAAUACGGAGGAUGCGAGCGUUAUCCGGAUUUAUUGGGUUUAAAGGGUGCGUAGGUUGUGGAUUAAGUCAGCGGUGAAAGUUUGUCGCUCAACGAUAAAAUUGCCGUUGAAACUGGUUCACUUGAGUAUAUUUGAAGUAGGCGGAAUGCGUGGUGUAGCGGUGAAAUGCAUAGAUAUCACGCAGAACUCCGAUUGCGAAGGCAGCUUACUAAGUUAUAACUGACACUGAAGCACGAAAGCGUGGGUAUCAAACAGGAUUAGAUACCCGGGUAGUCC